rnacentral:rRNA from 1 species
UACGUGGGCAGCAAGCGUUGUUCGGAGUUACUGGGCGUAAAGGGUGUGUAGGCGGUUAUUUAAGUUUGGUGUGAAAUCUCCCGGCUCAACCGGGAGGUGCGCCGAAUACUGAAUGACUUGGAGUGCGGGAGAGGAAAGUGGAAUUCCUGGUGUAGCGGUGAAAUGCGUAGAUAUCGUUUGGAACGCCAAUGGUGAAAACACGCAACUGGGGACAUGCUGACGCUGAGACACGAAAGCCAGGGGAGCGAACGGG